AAAUACUGAUCCUUUCGAUCGCUCCCGAAAACUCCAAGCCCGGCCUUCGAGCCGGGCUUUUUGCUGUGCCGCC
rnacentral:sRNA from 1 species